CUACGGGGUGCUGCAGUCGAGAAUCUUCGGCAAUGGACGAAAGUCUGACCGAGCGACGCCGCGUGUACGAUGAAGGCCUUCGGGUUGUAAAGUACUGUCAGUUGGGAGGAAAUAUUUGGGGGUCAUCCCCCUUAUUUGACCCAUCUUCAGAGGAAGUGCGGGCUAAGUUCGUGCCAGCAGCCGCGGUAAUACGAACCGCACGAACGUUAUUCGGAAUCACUGGGCUUAAAGGGUGCGUAGGCGGUCUAGUAAGUUGGGUGUGAAAUCCCUCGGCUCAACCGAGGAAUUGCGCUCAAUACUGCUAGACUUGAGGGAGAUAGAGGUAAGCGGAACUCAGGGUGGAGCGGUGAAAUGUGUUGAUAUCCUGGGGAACACCAGUUGCGAAAGCGGCUUACUGGGUCUCUUCUGACGCUGAGGCACGAAAGCUAGGGGAGCGAACGGGAUUAGAUACCCCCGUAGUC
rnacentral:rRNA from 1 species